rnacentral:rRNA from 1 species
AUUGAACGCUGGCGGCAGGCUUAACACAUGCAAGUCGAACGAGUGGCGGACGGGUGAGUAAUGCUUGGGAAUCUGGCUUAUGGAGGGGGAUAACUAUUGGAAACGAUAGCUAAUACCGCAUACUACCAGAUGGACCUGCGUUGUAUUAGCUAGUUGGUGGGGUAACGGCUCACCAAGGCAACGAUACAUAGCCGACCUGAGAGGGUGAUCGGCCACACCGGGACUGAGACACGGCCCGGACUCCUACGGGAGGCAGCAGUGGGGAAUAUUGCGCAAUGGGGGCAACCUGACGCAGCCAUGCCGCGUGAAUGAAGAAGGCCUUCGGGUUGUAAAGUUCUUUCGGUGACGAGGCGUUAAUCACAGAAGAAGCACCGGCUAACUCCGUGCCAGCAGCCGCGGUAAUAC